rnacentral:rRNA from 1 species
AGAGUUUGAUCCUGGCUCAGGAUGAACGCUAGCGACAGGCUUAACACAUGCAAGUCGAGGGGCAGCACAGGUAGCAAUACCGGGUGGCGACCGGCGCACGGGUGAGUAACGCGUAUGCAACUUACCUAUCAGAGGGGGAUAACCCGGCGAAAGUCGGACUAAUACCGCAUAAAGCAGGGAUCCCGCAUGGGAAUAUUUGCUAAAGAUUCAUCGCUGAUAGAUAGGCAUGCGUUCCAUUAGGCAGUUGGCGGGGUAACGGCCCACCAAACCGACGAUGGAUAGGGGUUCUGAGAGGAAGGUCCCCCACAUUGGUACUGAGACACGGACCAAACUCCUACGGGAGGCAGCAGUGAGGAAUAUUGGUCAAUGGGCGUAAGCCUGAACCAGCCAAGUCGCGUGAGGGAUGAAGGUUCUAUGGAUCGUAAACCUCUUUUAUAAGGGAAUAAAGUGCGGGACGUGUCCCGUUUUGUAUGUACCUUAUGAAUAAGGAUCGGCUAACUCCGUGCCAGCAGCCGCGGUAAUACGGAGGAUCCGAGCGUUAUCCGGAUUUAUUGGGUUUAAAGGGUGCGUAGGCGGCCUUUUAAGUCAGCGGUGAAAGUCUGUGGCUCAACCAUAGAAUUGCCGUUGAAACUGGGGGGCUUGAGUAUGUUUGAGGCAGGCGGAAUGCGUGGUGUAGCGGUGAAAUGCUUAGAUAUCACGCAGAACCCCGAUUGCGAAGGCAGCCUGCCAAGCCAUGACUGACGCUGAUGCACGAAAGCGUGGGGAUCAAACAGGAUUAGAUACCCUGGUAGUCCACGCAGUAAACGAUGAUCACUAGCUGUUUGCGAUACAGUGUAAGCGGCACAGCGAAAGCGUUAAGUGAUCCACCUGGGGAGUACGCCGGCAACGGUGAAACUCAAAGGAAUUGACGGGGGCCCGCACAAGCGGAGGAACAUGUG